rnacentral:snRNA from 1 species
UUUAUUACUCAUUACAUAAACUAAAAUAGGAAGGAUACAGAGAAGAUGAACAUAUCCCUACCUGCGGAUGACCUGAAAAUUAAUGGUGUUCCAAAUUGAA